ACAUGACUCGUGUCAGCGCUGCAGAAUACAUUGAAGUCUAUGAAGUGAGUGAUAUUUAUACGAGUAAAGGGUCAUCACAUGACUCGUGUCAGCGCUGCAGAAUACAUUGAAGUCUAUGAAGUGAGUGAUAUUUAUACGAGUAAAGGGUCAUCACAUGACUCGUGUCAGCGCUGCAGAAUACAUUGAAGUCUAUGAAGUGAGUGAUAUUUAUACGAGUAAAGGGUCAUCACAUGACUCGUGUCAGCGCUGCAGAACACAUUGAAGUCUAUGAAGUGAGUGAUAUUUAUACGUGUAAAGGGUCAUCACAUGACUCGUGUCAGCGCUGCAGAAUACAUUGAAGUCUAUGAAGUGAGUGAUAUUUAUACGUGUAAAGGGUCAUCACAUGACUCGUGUCAGCGCUGCAGAAUACAUUGAAGUCUAUGAAGUGAGUGAUAUUUAUACGUGUAAAGGGUCAUCACAUGACUCGUGUCAGCGCUGCAGAAUACAUUGAAGUCUAUGAAGUGAGUGAUAUUUAUACGUGUAAAGGGUCAU